CCUACGGGUUGCAGCAGUAGGGAAUCCUCCGCAAUGGACGAAAGUCUGACGGAGCAACGCCGCGUGAGUGAUGAAGGCUUUCGGGUCGUAAAACUCUGUUGUUAGGGAAGAACAAGUGCUAGUUGAAUAAGCUGGCACCUUGACGGUACCUAACCAGAAAGCCACGGCUAACUACGUGCCAGCGGCCGCGGUAAUACGUAGGUGGCAAGCGAUAUCCGGAAUUAUUGGGCGUAAAGCGCGCGCAGGUGGUUUCUUAAGUCUGAUGUGAAAGCCCACGGCUCAACCGUGGAGGGUCAUUGGAAACUGAGAGACUUGAGUGCAGAAGAGGAAAGUGGAAUUCCAUGUGUAGUGGUGAAAUGCGUAGAGAUAUGGAGGAACACCAGUGGCGAAGGCGACUUUCUGGUCUGCAACUGACGCUGAGGCGCGAAAGCGUGGGGAGCAAACAGGAUUAGAUACCCUCGUAGUC
rnacentral:rRNA from 1 species